CCUUAGUUAAGUUCUUUGUUGUUCUUGGAGAUAAAGGAAGUCUUCAAGUAGCUGAAGGAGUAUUCAAAGAAGGCUACCAAGGUUGUAGAGUUUUCGAGUUCACGCGGAUCUAGCUAGUCAGAAACGUGAAGCAAAGCCAAGUUUCAGCCUAAACCCUGUAUUCCCGUUAGGUAAACCCCUAGCUGCCGCGGUCAUCAUAGACUGUCCAGAUUAGAUGUUUUACAGCUUCUUGCUAAAAAUCUGAUAAAUUUAUUAUGUAUAGUUUUCUUUAUGGGCCCAGGAAACUAUACUUGUUUUGUAAUGAUUUAAAGUACGAUACUAUAAUAAAUAAAAUUCGGUUUUAUUUAAACAUGGAAGCGUUCGAAUGAUAUAUUAGUCAUGUCCGGACUGACACAACUCGCGACCGUGGUACGGGUUGAAAAGCCUUAGGCCAUGAUCGAGAGGUAAAGAUACUCGAGAUCGGUUGAAUUGGGCAAGCGGAUUCAUUCCGGGAACCUUUGUCGACUGAUUACGGGUGUCAUACGUGACGCCCUUGUUCCGUUUUAGUUAUAGAACGGUUCGGGGGUGUUACAGAUAUGGCGUAUUGUUUCAUCUGGUGAGUCUAUGUGGGUCAGAUGGGUGCAAAACAAUCUACUCAAACAUAGGAUCUUCUGGUCUGUCCAGUCUGCUACAGCAGGUUCUUGGAUGUGGAGAAAAUUACUCAAGUUUCGACAAGUUGCAGUGAAUUUUUGCAGAACAGAAAUCAAUAAUGGGCUUAGUACCUCGUUUUGGUUCGAUAAUUGGUCGAGUUUGGGUCAGUUAAUUGAUGUGGCCGGAGAGAGGGGUAUCAUUGAAACGGGGAUAAGUACACACAUGUCUGUUGAUGAUGCGUGGGACAGACGUCAUCGUCGUCGCUAUCGUCUGCCAUAAUUAAACCAGAUAGAAACAUAACUUCAAUUGAAGCGUGAGCAAUCUAAUACCAGGGACGAUGUCGUUCUUUGGCGAGGGAAAAACGAGAGGUUUCACCCACAGUUUUUUACAAAAGAAACUUGGCUGCAGAUCAGGUCGGUGGUAGAAGAGGUCGCAUGGCAUAGAUGUGUCUAGUUUACUCAUUCCACAUGAAAGCACUCGUUCUGUAUUUGGUUGGCGAUCUGCAAUAGACUUUCCACUGGCGAUCGUAAGGCGCAAUGGUCCACGGGAGAGCUUGGCGACUGUAUAUUCUGCAACAAUGCCGUUGAAACACGUGAUCAUUUAUUUUUCACCUGUAGUUUCUUCUCGGAGAUUUGGCAAGCCGUUGCAAAGGAUAUUUACAAGAGCCGAUUUUCGACCACCUGGAACUCAAUAGUAACCUCAGCCUGUAGUAACUGGAGGGAUAGGACUACAUCUUAUCUAGCCUGUUCCAUCCUGCAAACGACAGUACAUCAUUUGGCAUGAGCGAAACAGGCGGACACAUGGUGAGCACCCGAAGCCUGCUUCAUAUCUCAUUCAACUCAUUGACACACAUAUGAGAUACCAACUCCUCGCUAUUGGUCUCAUGGGGGAUCGACGUUACGAUACUGGUCUGCUCAAGUGGCUAGAGACUAGAUAUUGAUUCUAAAUUUUAUUCAGCCCUCUGUUUUUAGAAUUCUCAAAGAAACGAUGCACCAGUUAUAUAAACGUAUUUUUGUUUUGAAUAUAAUUUAACAUUUUAUUCAAAAAAAAAAGAAGCGUUUUAUUAUCUCCAUUGGUCCACUAACGUUUCUGGUUUGUACAAAAAAACUUAUACUUAAAUUUACACCCUACGUACAAGCUACUUCAAUUGUCUAAGUGUAACCCAUAUAUGG